GGCGAGACAGGCCCAAAACGAGGUUCAGCGGGCGAGGCGCGGGCCCGAGGCCCAGACGAGCGCGCGGGAACGGGCGCGCGCGGGAAAGGCUCGCGGGCAAAUGAGGUUCAAACUGGCGCGGGAAGGCAGGGCGCGCGCGCGGGCGAGGUUCAAAUCGCGCGCGGGAGCUGCGAGGCGCGCGCGGGACGCCAGGCGAGGUUCAAAUCGCGCGCGGGAAGCGACGGGCGCGCGCGGGACGCGACGGGCGCGCGCGGGCUGGGCGCCAGCCCGCCCAAACGAGGUUCCCGCCUGCGCAGCAGCCCGCCAAAAUGAGGUUCUCCCGCCAGAAAACUGCAGCCCGCCCAAUUUCGAAUUUUGGCCGCCAAGGGGAGUUCAAGCUCGGCCAAACCACUAUAAAUAGGGGUCUUGAGGUGCAUUUUGAGGCAUAGAGAGUUCCACAAACCUCCUUGUACACUUAGCCAAAUUUUAGCUCACUUGUGAAGUUUUAGGCUUGUAAUUGCCAUUUUCGUGAGUUAUAAAAUUUACCUUCCUUUUGCCCAAA